rnacentral:lncRNA from 1 species
GGGCGCACCCGUGCUCGCGCACCCCAAGAUGGCUGAGAGGCAGGAAGAGCAGAGAGGGAGCCCGCCCUUGAGGGCGGAAGGCAAGGCCGACGCGGAGGUUAAGCUCAUUCUGUACCAUUGGACGCAUUCCUUCAGCUCUCAAAAGAAAGAACACCCAGGUUAAUGCCUGAUAAAGAAAGCAUGUAUUACCCACGGGUACAACAUUACCGAGAGCUGCUUGACUCCUUGCCAAUGGAUGCCUAUACACAUGGCUGCAU